UACGGGGGGGGCAAGCGUUGUUCGGAAUUACUGGGCGUAAAGGGCUCGUAGGUGGCCAACUAAGUCGGACGUGAAAUCCCUCAGCUUAACUGGGGAACUGCGUCCGAUACUGGAUGGCUUGAGUUUGGGAGAGGGAUGCGGAAUUCCAGGUGUAGCGGUGAAAUGCGUAGAUAUCUGGAGGAACACCGGUGGCGAAGGCGGCAUCCUGGACCAACACUGCCACUGAGGAGCGAAAGCCAGGGGAGCAAACGGG
rnacentral:rRNA from 1 species